UACGGGGGGGGCAAGCGUUGUUCGGAAUUACUGGGCGUAAAGGGUCUGUAGGUGGCCAAUUAAGUCAGACGUGAAAUCCCUCAGCUUAACUGGGGAACUGCGUCUGAGACUGGAUGGCUCGAGUGCAGGAGAGGAAUGCGGAAUUCCAGGUGUAGCGGUGAAAUGCGUAGAUAUCUGGAGGAACACCGGUGGCGAAGGCGGCAUCCUGGACCGAUACUGACGCUGAGGAGCGAAAGCCAGGGGAGCAAACGGG
rnacentral:rRNA from 1 species